rnacentral:rRNA from 1 species
AUUGAACGCUGGCGGCAGGCCUAACACAUGCAAGUCGAGCGGAUGAAGGGAGCUUGCGCCUGGAUUCAGCGGCGGACGGGUGAGUAAUGCCUAGGAAUCUGCCUGGUAGUGGGGGAUAACGUCCGGAAACGGGCGCUAAUACCACAUACGUCCUGAGGGAGAAAGUGGGGGAUCUUCGGACCUCACGCUAUCAGAUGAGCCUAGGUCGGAUUAGCUAGUUGGUGGGGUAAAGGCCUACCAAGGCGACGAUCCGUAACUGGUCUGAGAGGAUGAUCAGUCACACUGGAACUGAGACACGGUCCAGACUCCUACGGGAGGCAGCAGUGGGGAAUAUUGGGCAAUGGGCGAAAGCCUGAUCCAGCCAUGCCGCGUGUGUGAAGAAGGUCUUCGGAUUGUAAAGCACUUUAAGUUGGGAGGAAGGGCAGUAAGUUAAUACCUUGCUGUUUUGACGUUACCAACAGAAUAAGCACCGGCUAACUUCGUG